GACGAACGCUGGCGGCGUGCUUAACACAUGCAAGUCGAACGGAAAGGCCCCUUUGGGGGUACUCGAGUGGCGAACGGGUGCGUAACACGUGAGUAACCUGCCCUUGACUUCGGGAUAACUUCAGGAAACUGGGGCUAAUACCGGAUAGGAAUCCUUGCUGCAUGGUGGGGGUUGGAAAGCUUCGGCGGUUUUGGAUGGACUCGCGGCUUAUCAGCUUGUUGGUGGGGUAGUGGCUUACCAAGGCUUUGACGGGUAGCCGGCCUGAGAGGGCGACCGGCCACAUUGGGACUGAGAUACUGCCCAGACUCCUACGGGAGGCAGCAGUGGGGAAUAUUGCACAAUGGGCGGAAGCCUGAUGCAGCAACGCCGCGUGCGGGAUGACGGCCUUCGGGUUGUAAACCGCUUUCAGCAGGGGCGAAGCUUUUGUGACGGUACCUGCAGAAGAAGCACCGGCUAACUACGUG
rnacentral:rRNA from 1 species